rnacentral:tRNA from 1 species
GGAGAGAUGCCAGAGUGGUCGAAUGGGACAGUCUUGAAAACUGUUAGGCCUUCACGGGUCUCUAGGGUUCGAAUCCCUAUCUCUCCG